rnacentral:rRNA from 1 species
CCUACGGGAGGCAGCAGUGAGGAAUAUUGGUCAAUGGACGAGAGUCUGAACCAGCCCAGUAGCGUGAAGGAUGACUGCCCUAUGGGUUGUAAACUUCUUUUAUAUGGGAAUAAAACGUUCCACGUGUGGGAUUUUGUAUGUACCAUAUGAAUAAGGAUCGGCUAACUCCGUGCCAGCAGCCGCGGUAAUACGGAGGAUCCGAGCGUUAUCCGGAUUUAUUGGGUUUAAAGGGAGCGUAGGUGGAUUGUUAAGUCAGUUGUGAAAGUUUGCGGCUCAACCGUAAAAUUGCAGUUGAAACUGGCAGUCUUGAGUACAGUAGAGGUGGGCGGAAUUCGUGGUGUAGCGGUGAAAUGCUUAGAUAGCACGAAGAACUCCGAUUGCGAAGGCAGUUCACUGGACUGCAACUGACACUGAGGCUCGAAAGUGUGGGUAUCAAACAGGAUUAGAUACCCCAGUAGUC